AUUACUUAAAAAUCAUACAAUGUGAUUUUCUGGAUUUUUGUUUUAGAUUCCGUCUCUCACAGUUGAAGUGUACCUAUGAUAAAAAUGACAGACCUCUACAUGCUUUGUAAGUAGGAAAACCUGCAAAAUCGGCAGUGUAUCAAAUACUUGUUCUCCCCAUUGUAUAUACUGUAUAUACACUCUUUCCAUGACAUAGACUGACCAGGUAAAUCCAGGUGAAAUUAAAUUAAUGUACCAUGAUAAUCUUAAAUUAAUUGUGAAUAAUGAGCGAGUGAGAAAGUUAGUGGGUCAAAGAUCAUGCUACCAAUAACAGGGGAGGUUAGCAUGUCUUGGGGGUAUGAUAUUACUUGCUAACCUCCCCUGUUAUUGGUAAUGGUGAGAGGUUAGCAUGUCUUGGGGGUAUGAUAUUACAUGCUAACCUCCUCUGUUAUUGGUAAUGGUGAGAGGUUAGCAUGUCUUGGGGGUAUGAUAUUACAUGCUAACCUCCCUGGUAGGCCCUAAUGAGAGGUUAGCAUGUAUUGGGGGUAUGAUAUUACAUGCUAACCUCCCUGGUAGGCCCUAAUGAGAGGUUAGCAUGUCUUGGGGGUAUGAUACUACAAGCUAACUUCCUCUGUUAUUGGUAAUGGUGAGAGGUUAGCAUGUCUUGGGGGUAUGAU
ensembl:lncRNA